GAUGAACGCUAGCGGCAGGCUUAACACAUGCAAGUCGAGGGGCAGCACGGGUAGCAAUACCUGGUGGCGACCGGCGCAAGGGUGCGUAACGCGUGAGCAACAUGCCCUAUACAGGGGGAUAAUCCAGGGAAACUUGGUCUAAUAUCCCAUAGUAUUUAGAGGAGGCAUCUUCUAUAAAUUAAAGCUUCGGUGGUAUAGGAUUGGCUCGCGUGACAUUAGCUAGAUGGUGAGGUAACGGCUCACCAUGGCAAUGAUGUCUAGGGGUUCUGAGAGGGUUGUCCCCCACACUGGUACUGAGACACGGACCAGACUCCUACGGGAGGCAGCAGUGAGGAAUAUUGGUCAAUGGGCGCAAGCCUGAACCAGCCAUCCCGCGUGAAGGAAGAAUGCGCUACGCGUUGUAAACUUCUUUUCCAGGGGGAGAAUAAUCCUGUCGUGACAGGACUUGACGGUACUCUGGGAAUAAGCAUCGGCUAACUCCGUGCC
rnacentral:rRNA from 1 species